rnacentral:lncRNA from 1 species
AAUGGACUCGCUUGAACUGAUGUAAGCAUCUUCCAUGGUCCUGAGCUCCUGGUUGCAUCUAUUUAUUAGGAGCAUAGAGACCAGUAAUGAAUACCCUCAAGCUGAUGUAAGCAUCUUCCACGGCCAUGAACUCCAUAGUUACAUCUCUGCAUUAGGAGCAUGGAGAUCAAUAAUGGGCACGGCCAUGCCAAUUUUGGCAUUCUGUCAUGGCCCUGAACUCAGUGGUGUCUUUGGAGAACGGAGACCCUUGUGUGUGAGUAACAGUCGAACUUUUUGUCUUGGUUUGGGCAAUUUUUAA